rnacentral:rRNA from 1 species
UCUCCUCUGUCCCUAUCUACUAUCUAGCGAAACCACUGCCAAGGGAACGGGCUUGGAAAAAUCAGCGGGGAAAGAAGACCCUGUUGAGCUUGACUCUAGUCUGGCACUGUAAGGAGACAUGAGAGGUGUAGCAUAAGUGGGAGACGGUAUCCAUCCCGUCGCCGGUGAAAUACCACUACUUUCAUCGUUUCUUUACUUACUUGGUUAGGCGGAGGGCGUACGUCGAGGGCAUUCGCCCCGGCGUUACGGUCUUCUCGCGCCAAGCGUUCAAGGGUUGCCGGCGGACAUAGGUGCGGGCCGCUCGUCGGUGAGUCGCGGUCCUGGUUCGCCAGUCCACGGCCCGGCUGUGGCUGCGGCACUCUCUGCCACCGACCGGCAAACACUCCCUAGCGUGAUCCGAUCCGAGGACACUGCCAGGCGGGGAGUUUGACUGGGGCGGUACAUCUGUCAAAGAAUAACGCAGGUGUCCUAAGGCCAGCUCAGUGAGGACAGAAACCUCGCGUAGAGCAAAAGGGCAAAUGC